rnacentral:rRNA from 1 species
UUCAGGAGGAUGGAAACUGGCUCAGGAUGAACGCUGGCGGUCUGCUUAACACAUGCAAGUCGAACGGAAUCCUUCGGGAUUUAGUGGCGGACGGGUGAGUAACACGUGAGAAUCUGCACUCAGGAUGGGGACAACAGCGGGAAACUGCUGCUAAUACCCAAUGUGCCGAAAGGUAAAAGAUUUAUCGCCUGAGAAUGAGCUCGCGGCCGAUUAGUUAGUUGGUGGGGUAAUGGCCUACCAAGACGGCGAUCGGUAGCUGGUCUGAGAGGAUGAGCAGCCACACUGGGACUGAGACACGGCCCAGACUCCUACGGGAGGCAGCAGUGGGGAAUUUUCCGCAAUGGGCGCAAGCCUGACGGAGCAAGACCGCGUGGGGGAGGAAGGCUCUUGGGUUGUAAACCCCUUUUCUCAGGGAAGAAGUUCUGACGGUACCUGAGGAAUCAGCCUCGGCUAACUCCGUGCCAGCAGCCGCGGUAAUACGGAGGAGGCAAGCGUUAUCCGGAAUUAUUGGGCGUAAAGCGUCCGUAGGUGGUGGGGCAAGUCGGCGGUUAAAGACUGGGGCUUAACUCCAGAAAGGCCGUGGAAACUGCACCACUAGAGGGCAGUAGGGGUAGAGGGAAUUCCCGGUGUAGCGGUGAAAUGCGUAGAGAUCGGGAAGAACACCAGUGGCGAAAGCGCUCUACUGGACUGCAACUGACACUCAGGGACGAAAGCUAGGGGAGCGAAUGGGAUUAGAUACCCCAGUAGUCCUAGCCGUAAACGAUGAAGUACGGUAGAC